UAACUGGGCGAAUGAGUUGCAGGGUAUAGACCCGAAACCCGGUGAUCUAGCCAUGGGCAGGUUGAAGGUUGGGUAACACUAACUGGAGGACCGAACCGACUAAUGUUGAAAAAUUAGCGGAUGACUUGUGGCUGGGGGUGAAAGGCCAAUCAAACCGGGAGAUAGCUGGUUCUCCCCGAAAGCUAUUUAGGUAGCGCCUCGUGAACUCAUCUUCGGGGGUAGAGCACUGUUUCGACUAGGGGGUCAUCCCGACUUACCAACUCGAUGCAAACUACGAAUACCGAAGAAUGUUAUCACGGGAGACACACGGCGGGUGCUAACGUUCGUCGUGAAGAGGGAAACAACCCAGACCGCCAGCUAAGGUCCCAAAGUCAUAGUUAAGUGGGAAACGAAGUGGGAAGGCUCAGACAGCCAGGAUGUUGGCUUAGAAGCAGCCAUCAUUUAAAGAAAGCGUAAUAGCUCACUGGUCGAGUCGGCCUGCGCGGAAGAUGUAACGGGGCUAAACUAUGCACCGAAGCUGCGGCAGCGAUAUUUAGAUAUUGUUGGGUAGGGGAGCGUUCUGUAAGCCUGUGAAGGUGUACUGUGAGGUAUGCUGGAGGUAUCAGAAGUGCGAAUGCUGACAUAAGUAACGAUAAUGCGGGUGAAAAACCCGCACGCCGGAAGACCAAGGGUUCCUGUCCAACGUUAAUCGGGGCAGGGUGAGUCGACCCCUAAGGCGAGGCAGAAAUGCGUAGUCGAUGGGAAACGGGUUAAUAUUCCCGUACUGGUGAUAAUUGCGAUGGGGGGACGGAGAAGGUUAGGCUGGCCGGGCGACGGUUGUCCCGGUUUAAGGAUGUAGGCAGGUGAAUUAGGCAAAUCCGGUUCACUAUAUGCUGAGGUCUGAUGACGAGUCACUACGGUGGCGAAGUAGCUCAUACCCCGCUUCCAGGAAAAGCCUCUAAGCUCUAGAUUAUCAUUAAUCGUACCCCAAACCGACACAGGUGGUCAGGUAGAGAAUACUCAGGCGCUUGAGAGAACUCGGGUGAAGGAACUAGGCAAAAUGGUGCCGUAACUUCGGGAGAAGGCACGCUGGCAUUAGGUGAAGUGGUUUACCCAUGGAGCUGAAGCCAGUCGCAGAUACCAGCUGGCUGCAACUGUUUAUUAAAAACACAGCACUGUGCAAACACGAAAGUGGACGUAUACGGUGUGACGCCUGCCCGGUGCUGGAAGGUUAAUUGAUGGGGUUAUCCGUAAGGAGAAGCUCUUGAUCGAAGCCCCAGUAAACGGCGGCCGUAACUAUAACGGUCCUAAGGUAGCGAAAUUCCUUGUCGGGUAAGUUCCGACCUGCACGAAUGGCGUAAUGAUGGCCAGGCUGUCUCCACCCGAGACUCAGUGAAAUUGAACUCGCUGUGAAGAUGCAGUGUACCCGCGGCAAGACGGAAAGACCCCGUGAACCUUUACUAUAGCUUGACACUGAACAUUGAGCCUUGAUGUGUAGGAUAGGUGGGAGGCUUUGAAGCGUGGACGCCAGUCUGCGUGGAGCCAACCUUGAAAUACCACCCUUUAAUGU
rnacentral:rRNA from 1 species